CAUGGGGCUGUAUGACCCCAUUCCCCCAUAGGGCUGUGUGACCCCAUACCCCUUAUAGGGCUGUAUGACCCCAUUCCCCCAUAGGGCUGUAUGACCCCAUUCCCCCAUAGGGCUGUGUGACCCCAUACCCCUUAUAGGGGUGUAUGACCCCAUUCCCCCAUAGGGCUGUGUGACCCCAUACCCCUUAUAGGGCUGUGUGACCCCAUUCCCCCAUAGGGCUGUAUGACCCCAAACCCGUUAUAGUACCACGUGACCACAUACCCCUUAUAGUACCACGUGACCCCAUUCCCCCCAUAGGGCUGUGUGACCCCAUUCCCCCAUAGGGCUGUGUGACCCCAUACCCCUAUAGUACCACGUGACCCCAUUCCCCCAUAGGGCUGUAUGACCCCAUAGCCAUUAUAAUACCACGUGACCCCAUAGCCGUUAUAGUACCACGUGACCCCACACCCGUUAUAGUACCACGUGACCCCAUUCCCCCCCCCCAUAGACCCCAUAGACCCCAUAGACUCCCCCCACCCCACAUCCGCCCCCAUUCCCACCCCAUCCACCCCACACCCCAUAGCCGCCCCUAUACCCCAUCCACCUCCCACCCCAUACCCGACCCUAAACCCCAUAGACCCCAUAGACCCCAUAGACCCCAUAGACCCCGUAGACCCCCCCCCACCCCACAGCCGCCCCCAUUCCCACCCCAUCCACCCCCUACCCCAUAUCUGCCCCUAUACCCCAUCCACCCCAUCCACCCCCCACCCCAUAGCCGCCCCUAUACCCCAUCCACCCCCCACCCCAUACCCGACCCUAUACCCCAUAGACCCCAUAGACCCCAUAGCCCCCCCCCCACCCCACAUCUGCCCCCAUUGCCACCCCAUCCACCCCAUACCCAACCCUAUACCCCAUCCACCCCAUCCACCUCCUACCCCAUACCCGACCCUAUACCCCAUGGACCCCAUAGACCCCCCCCCACCCCACAGCCACCCCUAUUCCUACCCCAUCCACCCCAUACCCGCCCCUAUACCCCAUCCACCCUACACCUGACCCCAUAGACCCCAUAGACCCCCCCCACCCCACAUCCACCCCCAUUGCCGCCCCAUCCACCCCAUACCCGACCCUAUACCCCAUCCACCCCAUCCACCCCACACCUGACCCCAUACACCCCAUAGACCCCAUAGACCCCAUCCACCCCACACCCCAUACCCGACCCUAUACCCCAUGGACCCCAUAGACCCACCCCACCCCACAUCCGCCCCCAUUGCCGCCCCAUACACCCCAUACACCCCCCAUACACCCCAUAUCUGACCCUAUACCCAACCCUAUACCCCAUACACCCCCCACACCCCAUAGCCGCCUCUAUAUCCCAUCCACCCCCCACCCCAUUCCCGACCCUAAACCCCAUAGACCCCAUAGACCCCAUAGACCCCAUAGACCCCCCCCACCCCACAUCCACCCCCAUUGCCGCCCCAUACCCGACCCUAUACCCCAUAUCUGCCCCUAUACCCAAUCCACCCCAUCCUCCCCCCACCCCAUAGCCGCCCCUAUACACCAUCCACCCCCUACCCCAUACCCGACCCUAUACCCCAUCCACCCUACACCUGACCCCAUAGACCCCAUAGACCCCAUAGACCCCAUCCACCCCACAGCCACCCCCAUUCCCACCCCAUCCACCCCCCACCCCAUAGCCGCCCCUAUACCCCAUUCACCCCAUCCACCCCAUACCCGACCCUAAACCCCAUAGACCCCAUAGACCCCAUAGACUCCCCCCACCCCACAUCCGCCCCCAUUCCCACCCCAUACCCGACCCUAUACCCCAUAUCUGCCCCUAUACCCAAUCCACCCCCUCCUCCCCCCACCCCAUAGCCGCCCCUAUACACCAUCCACCCCCUACCCCAUACCCGACCCUACACCCCAUAGACCCCAUAGACCCCCCCCCACCCCACAUCCGCCCCCAUUCCCACCCCAUCCACCCCCUACCCCAUAUCUGCCCCUAUACCCCAUCCACCCCAUUCACCCCCCCACCCCAUACCCGACUCUAUACCCCAUAGACCCCAUAGACCCCCCCCAUCCCUCAUCCGUCCCCAUUCCCACCCCAUCCACCCCAUACCCGACCCUAUACCCCAUGGACCCCAUAGACCCACCCCACCCCACAUCCGCCCCCAUUGCUGCCCCAUACACCCCGUACACCCCCCAUACACCCCAUAUCUGACCGUAUACCCAACCCUAUACCCCAUACACCCCCCACACCCCAUAGCCGCCCCUAUACCCCAUCCACCCCCCACCCCAUACCCGACCCUAAACCCCAUAGACCCCAUUGACCCCAUAGACCCCAUAGACCCCCCCCACCCCAUAGCCGCCCCAUUCCCACCCCAUCCACCCCAUACCCGACCCUAUGCCCCAUCCACCCUACACCUGACCCCAUAGACCCCAUAGACCCCAUAGACCCCCCCCCACCCCACAGCCACCCCCAUUCCUACCCCAUCCACCCCAUACCCGCCCCUAUACCCCAUCCACCCCAUCCACCUCCCACCCCAUACCCGACCCUAAACCCCAUAGACCCCAUAGACCCCAUAGACCCCCCCCACCCCACAGCCGCCCCCAUUCCCACCCCAUCCACCCCAUACCCGACCCUAUGCCCCAUCCACCCUACACCUGACCCCAUAGACCCCAUAGACCCCCCCCACCCCACAUCUGCCCCCAUUGCCACCCCAUCCACCCCAUACCCGCCCCUAUACCCCAUCCACCCCAUCCUCCCCCCACCCCAUACCCGACCCUAUACCCCAUAGACCCCAUAGACUCCCCCCACCCCACAGCCGCCCCCAUUUCCACCCCAUCCACCCCCCACCCCAUAGCCGCCCCUAUACCCCAUCCACCCCCCACCCCAUACCCGACCCUAAACCCCAUAGACCCCAUAGACCCCAUAGACCCCAUAGACCCCAUAGCCCCCCCCCCACCCCACAUCCGCCCCCAUUGCCCCCCCACAGCCCGGCGGCCGUUGGGGUCCCCCCCCCCCCCCCCGUUGCUGAACCCCGCAGUGCUUCGGGUCCGUUACGCCGUGCGCGGCCCCAUCCUACAGCGGGCACUGCAGCUCGAGGCCGAGCUCCGCCAGGUACCCCACACCGACCCUAUAUGGCACCCUAUAGGGCCGCUUAUAUGGCCUCUUAUAUGGCCCCUUAGACGGCCCCUUUAUAUGGCCUCUUAUGUGGCCAAUUAUAUGGCACCCUAUAUGGCCCCUUGUAUGGCCCCCCAUAGGGACCCUAUAUGGCACCUUAUAGGGCUCCUUAUAUGCGACCCCAUAUGACCCCUUAUAUGGCCCCUUAUACGGCCCCUUAUACAGCCCCUUAUAUGGCUCCUUAUAUGGCCCCUUAUAUGACCCCUUAUAUGGCCCCUUAUAUGACCCCUUAGAUGGCACCCUAUAUGGCCCCCUAUAGGGACCCUAUAUGGCACCCUCUAGGGCCGCUUAUAUGGCCCCUUAUACGACCCCUUAUACGGCCCCUUAUACAGCCCCUUAUAUGGCUCCUUAUAUGGCUCCUUAUAUGGCCCCUUAUAUGGCCUCUUAUGUGGCCAAUUAUAUGGCACCCUAUAUGGCCCCUUAUACGGCCCCCCAUAGGGACCCUAUAUGGCACCCUCUAGGGCCGCUUAUAUGGCCUCUUAUAUGGCCCCUUAGACGGCCCCUUUAUAUGGCCUCUUAUGUGGCCAAUUAUAUGGCACCCUAUAUGGCCCCUUAGAUGGCCCCUUAGAUGGCCCCCUCCAGGGACCCUAUAUGGCCCUUUGAUGGCCCCUUAGAUGGCCCCUUAUAUGGCCCCUUAUACGGCCCCCUUAAAUGGCCUCUUAUGUGGCCAAUUAUAUGGCACCCUAUAUGGCCCCUUGUAUGGCCCCCUAUAGGGACCCUAUAUGGCACCCUAUAUGGCACCCUAUAGGACACCUUAUAUGGCCCCCUAUACGGCCUCUUAUAUGGCUCAUUAGGUGGCCCCUUAGAUGGCCCCUUAGAUGGCCCCUUUAUAUGGCCUCUUAUGUGGCCAAUUAUAUGGCACCCUAUAUGGCCCCUUAUACGGCCCCCUAUAGGGACCCUAUAUGGCACCUUAUAGGGCCCCUUAUAUGCGACCCCAUAUGACCCCUUAUAUGGCCCCUUAGAUGGCCCCUUUAUAUGGCCUCUUAUGUGGCCAAUUACAUGGAACCUAUACGGCCCCUUAUACAGCCCCCUAUAGGGACCCUAUAUGGCACCCUAUAUGGCGCCCUAUAGGACACCUUAUAUGGCCCCCUAUAUGGCCUCUUAUAUGGCCCCUUAUAUGACCCCUUAUAUGGCCCCUUAUAUGGUCUCUUAUAUGGCUCAUUAGAUGGCCCCUUAGAUGGCCCCCUCUAUGGCCCCUUCUAUGGCCCCCCUUAGGGACCCUAUAUGGCACCUUAUAGGGCCCUUUAUAUGGGACCCCAUAUGGCCUCUUAUAUGACUUCUUAUAUGGCCCCUUAUAUGGCUUCUUAGAUGGCCCCUUUAUAUGGCCUCUUAUAUGGCUCCUUAGAUGGCCCCUUAUACGGCUCCUUAUACAGCCCCUUAUACGGCUCCUUAUAUGGCUCCUUAUAUGGCCCCUUAUAUGGCCUCUUAUGUGGCCAAUUAUAUGGCACCCUAUAUGGCCCCUUCUAUGGCCCCCCAUAGGGACCCUAUAUGGCACCUUAUAGGGCCCCUUAGAUGGGACCCCAUAUGACCCCUUAUAUGGCCCCUUUAUAUGGCCUCUUAUAUGGCUCCUUAUAUGGCCCCUUAGACGACCCCUUAGAUGGCACCCUAUAUGGCCCCCUAUAGGCACCCUAUAGGGCCACUUAUAUGAACCCCAUAUGGCCCCUUAUACGGCCCCUUAUAUGGCUCUUUAAAUGGCCCCCUAUAUGGCCCCUUAGAUGGCCCCUUAGAUGGCCCCCUAUAUGGCCCCUUUAUAUGGCCCUUUAUAUGGGACCCCUAUAUGGACCCUUCUAUGAUCUCCUAUAGGGACCCUAUAUGGCUCCCUAUAGAGCACCUUAUAUGGG
rnacentral:lncRNA from 7 species